AGAGUUUGAUCCUGGCUCAGGAUGAACGCUGGCGGCGUGCUUAACACAUGCAAGUCGAACGGACUUAGAGUGAAACCUAGUGAUCUUUAAGUUAGUGGCGGACGGGUGAGUAACGCGUGGGUAACCUGCCUUGUACUGGGGGACAACAGUUGGAAACGACUGCUAAUACCGCAUAAGCGCACGGCUCCGCAUGGAGGUGUGUGAAAACCCUUCGGGGUACAAGAUGGACCCGCGUCUGAUUAGCCAGUUGGUGAGGUAACGGCCCACCAAAGCAACGAUCAGUAGCCGGCCUGAGAGGGUGAACGGCCACAUUGGGACUGAGACACGGCCCAAACUCCUACGGGAGGCAGCAGUGGGGAAUAUUGCACAAUGGGGGAAACCCUGAUGCAGCGACGCCGCGUGAGUGAAGAAGUAUUUCGGUAUGUAAAGCUCUAUCAGCAGGAAAGAAAAUGACGGUACCUGACUAAGAAGCCCCGGCUAACUACGUGCCAGCAGCCGCGGUAAUACGUAGGGGGCAAGCGUUAUCCGGAUUUACUGGGUGUAAAGGGAGCGUAGACGGUUUGGCAAGUCUGAAGUGAAAACCCGGGGCUUAACUCCGGGAUUGCUUUGGAAACUGUCGGACUAGAGUGCAGGAGAGGUAAGUGGAAUUCCUAGUGUAGCGGUGAAAUGCGUAGAUAUUAGGAGGAACACCAGUGGCGAAGGCGGCUUACUGGACUGUAACUGACGUUGAGGCUCGAAGGCGUGGGGAGCAAACAGGAUUAGAUACCCUGGUAGUCCACGCGGUAAACGAUGAUUACUAGGUGUUGGGGGGCUAUAGCCCUUCGGUGCCGCCGCAAACGCAUUAAGUGAUCCACCUGGGGAGUACGUUCGCAAGAAUGAAACUCAAAGGAAUUGACGGGGACCCGCACAAGCGGUGGAGCAUGUGGUUUAAUUCGAAGCAACGCGAAGAACCUUACCCGGUCUUGACAUCCCUCUGACAGCAUAUGUAAUGUAUGUUCCCUUCGGGGCGGGAAUCGAGGUGCUGCAUGGUUGUCGUCAGCUCGUGCCGUGAGGUGUCGGCUUAAGUGCCAUAACGAGCGCAACCCUUGUUGACAGUUGCCAUCAGGUCAGGCUGGGGACUCUGUCGAGACUGCCACCGUAAGGUGUGAGGAAGGGGGGGAUGACGUCAAAUCAGCACGGCCCUUAUGUCCGGGGCGACACACGUGUUACAAUGGUGACUACAGAGGGCAGCUACCCCGCGAGGGGAUGCAAAUCCCGAAAGGUCAUCCCAGUUCGGAUCGGAGUCUGCAACCCGACUCCGUGAAGUUGGAUUCGCUAGUAAUCGCGCAUCAGCCAUGGCGCGGUGAAUAAGUUCCCGGGCCUUGCACACACCGCCCGUCA
rnacentral:rRNA from 1 species